AGCAGCCGCGGUAAUUCCAGCUCCAAUAGCGUAUAUUAAAGUUGUUGCAGUUAAAAAGCUCGUAGUUGAAUUUCGGGGUUAGUAGGUUGGUCAUGCCUCUGGUAUGUACUGGUCUCACUGAUUCCUCCUUCCUGAUGAACCUUAAUGCCAUUAAUUUGGUGUUUUGGGGAAUUUGGACUGUUACUUUGAAAAAUUAGAGUGUUUAAAGCAAGCUAACGCUUGAAUACAUUAGCAUGGAAU
rnacentral:rRNA from 1 species